rnacentral:lncRNA from 1 species
CAAAGGUCAGUGGAGGAGAAUGUGAAUGGGCAAUAAUCAUGCAUGUUUCUCUUAGACUACUAUUUUACUUAUCAAAUAUUACAAACGCCAGUGUUUUGCUGAAAAAAUAAAAAUUACUGCUUUCCCUGAUGUGAAAAUCAGUUUCUAAUGUAACCAUAGAAGCCUCUGUCUCUGCUGUGGCUUUUUGUUUUAUUCCCUCCCUGCCCCCCCGCCACCCCUUCCCCACUUUUUUUUUUUUUUUUUUAAUGUAGUGCUGUUAUUCUGAGACCAUAGUUGUCUAGCUGGGAGUCAUUUUUCACUCAAAGGAAUGUGGUUCUGCUGCUUCUUCAAGGAAUCAUAGGAGCCCCAUGGUUUCUAUGAACUCAGAUGUUUUCAGGAUAUCAGCUGUGAAAAUCAUGCAUUCACAAGAACUGAAGCUGCCUGAUGAUCCCUGGAGUUUUAUAGAAUAGCAUUCAAAGAGAAGAUUUCCCCAGAGAACUAAUACUCCUGGAACAAGUUCUUAAAACUAGAAAGGCAAUGAAAUUUGUAAGACUCUGUGGAAAAGCUAAUCACGAGGAGGAAGAAUAAUGAACCGAUACUAAAACUGGAAACCUCCAAAGUCACUGAGUGGAGUGCUUCACUCUUCCAGAGGCUGAAUUAUCAAGAUCCCUUCAGAAAUUCAAUAAACUUCCUAGUAGCCAUUAGUCAACCAUGUUCUGCCAUAGGAAGACAGCUUCAAAACUUCCCUGUUCUCUUCUGUUUUCUAAUUUGAAUGGAUUUUGACAUCAGCAUUUGUUCUUCAAAUGCUUUGUGUCUUUGAAUUGUUCUUUUUUCCUCAUUGGUAUGUAUACCCUGAUACGUUUGUAGUCAGCAGUUUGUAGUCUCAGCCUCAAAAGUCAUUCUCAAGAGUGCUCUCAGAGGAUAGAUUUUCCAUUUUCCUGAUGAUCUUUGCAUCUUGUUUGAUUUGUCAUACAGCUUACAAAGUAGAAUUAUUACAAUUAUUUGAUCAUUUUGUUGAAGAGAGAGAAUAAUAGCAGAAAAAAGUAUUUUGUGAUAGGUGAGACUGAAAUCCUCUGAUUUCCAGAAAUCUGAUACCUAGAAAUAUAUCCUGCAUGUCAGAAAGAACUGAUCAGAUAUCUAAUAAUUCAGGAAUAAUUCUGAACAAAUGUAUUUAAUCUGUUUAUACUAAGGAGAUUUUGUGAUAUCAUAAACGUAAGAUAUUGGUUAAUUUUCACAACAACUGUCACUGUCUACUUCCCACUACUUUCUUCUCGCUUUUAAUAAUAGGAAAAACAAACAAAACAAAACAAGCAGGCAAGCACAAAUGGGGCUUGAAUAAUAUGACUAAAAUGCUUUUUCUUGAUUUUCAUAUAUUUUUCUAUUUUGAUAUCCUAAGUAUACUUGUCCAGUGAAUUUGCAGAAUUCAAGAACUGAGUAUCUUUCAUAAAAGAAAUGUUCAAGUCUGUUAUGGCUAAUUGAUUCAGCUAGUUAAGUGGGGUUGAGUGAACUAACUGAUUUUUUGAUGGAGACUGUUGAUUCUAGAAGAGUUUCAUUUACUUCUUGUUGGUUACCCAGAAAAAAAGCCCCUUGUACCUUCAGGCAUUAGUGGAAAUGUUUCUAAGAUGCUUAAGAAAGGCAUAAUACUUUGUAAGUGAAAUUUUAAAACCACAAAGAACAGUUUUCAUGUUCAGUCUGAACAGUUCCUAAAAUAAUGUUUUUUCCUAAUACGUAUUAGAAGAAAAUAUCUCUUUGGUCUUUAAUGCAUUUAUUGC